GAAGUUCUAACUCAGGAGAGAUUCGAGGACAGUGUAUGGUGGGUAGUUUGACUGGGGCGGUCUCCUCCUAAAGAGUAACGGAGGAGUACGAAGGUGCACUCGGUACGGUCGGAAAUCGUGCCAAGAGUAUAAAGGCAAAAGUGCGCUUGACUGCGAGAGUGACGGCUCGAGCAGGUACGAAAGUAGGUCUUAGUGAUCCGGUGGUCCCGAAUGGAAGGGUCAUCGCUCAACGGAUAAAAGGUACUCCGGGGAUAACAGGCUAAUUCCUCCCAAGAGUUCAUAUCGACGGAGGAGUUUGGCACCUCGAUGUCGGCUCAUCACAUCCUGGGGCUGAAGUAGGUCCCAAGGGUAUGGCUGUUCGCCAUUUAA
rnacentral:rRNA from 1 species